AAGUCGUAACAAGGUCUCCGUUGGUGAACCAGCGGAGGGAUCAUUACAGAGUUGCAAAACUCCCACACCCUUUGUGAACGCACUGAAAUUACUGCUUCGGCAGGCAGCCCUUCAGAGGGUAGCCCGCCGGAGAAGCACUAAACUCCUGUAUUUUUGGCUUCUCUGAGUGAUUAUACAAUGAAUCAAAACUUUCAACAACGGAUCUCUUGGUUCUG
rnacentral:misc_RNA from 1 species